rnacentral:rRNA from 1 species
GACGAACCGUGCGAACGUUGUUCGGAAUCACUGGGCGUAAAGGGCGCGUAGGCGGCUUUAUAAGUCGGGGGUGAAGCCUGUGGCUCAACCACAGAAUUGCCUUCGAUACUGUAGAGCUUGAGACCGGAAGAGGUAAGUGGAACUGCGAGUGUAGAGGUGAAAUUCGUAGAUAUUCGCAAGAACACCAGUGGCGAAGGCGGCUUACUGGUCCGGUUCUGACGCUGAGGCGCGAAAGCGUGGGGAGCAAACAGG